AUUGAACGCUGGCGGCAUGCUUUACACAUGCAAGUCGAACGGUAACAGGCCUUCGGGUGCUGACGAGUGGCGAACGGGUGAGUAAUGCAUCGGAACGUGCCCAAUCGUGGGGGAUAACGUAGCGAAAGUUACGCUAAUACCGCAUAAGCCCUGAGGGGGAAAGUGGGGGACCGCAAGGCCUCACGCGAAUGGAGCGGCCGAUGUCAGAUUAGCUAGUUGGUGGGGUAAAGGCCCACCAAGGCGACGAUCUGUAGCGGGUCUGAGAGGAUGAUCCGCCACACUGGGACUGAGACACGGCCCAGACUCCUACGGGAGGCAGCAGUGGGGAAUUUUGGGCAAUGGGCGCAAGCCUGAUCCAGCCAUGCCGCGUGCGGGACGAAGGCCCUCUGGGUUGUAAACUCCUUUAUCUGGGAAGAACCAUUCCGACUUGUCGGAACAUGACGGUACCAGAGGAAUAAGCACCGGCUAACUCCGUGCCAGCAGCCGCGGU
rnacentral:rRNA from 1 species